AACGAACGCUGGCGGCAUGCCUAACACAUGCAAGUCGAACGAGACCUUCGGGUCUAGUGGCGCACGGGUGCGUAACGCGUGGGAAUCUGCCCUUGGGUUCGGAAUAACUUCGGGAAACUGAAGCUAAUACCGGAUGAUGACGUAAGUCCAAAGAUUUAUCGCCCAAGGAUGAGCCCGCGUAGGAUUAGCUAGUUGGUGAGGUAAAGGCUCACCAAGGCGACGAUCCUUAGCUGGUCUGAGAGGAUGAUCAGCCACACUGGGACUGAGACACGGCCCAGACUCCUACGGGAGGCAGCAGUGGGGAAUAUUGGACAAAUGGGGCGAAAGCCUGAUCCAGCAAUGCCGCGUGAGUGAUGAAGGCCUUAGGGUUGUAAAGCUCUUUUACCCGGGAUGAUAAUGACAGUACCGGGAGAAUAAGCUCCGGCUAACUCCGUGCCAGCAGCCGCGGU
rnacentral:rRNA from 1 species